AAGAGACAGCAGCAGCCGCGGUAAUACAGAGGGUGCGAGCGUUAAUCGGAUUUACUGGGCGUAAAGCGUGCGUAGGCGGCUUCUUAAGUCGGAUGUGAAAUCCCUGAGCUUAACUUAGGAAUUGCAUUCGAUACUGGGAAGCUAGAGUAUGGGAGAGGAUGGUAGAAUUCCAGGUGUAGCGGUGAAAUGCGUAGAGAUCUGGAGGAAUACCGAUGGCGAAGGCAGCCAUCUGGCCUAAUACUGACGCUGAGGUACGAAAGCAUGGGGAGCAAACAGGAUUAGAUACCCCGGUAGUCCCUGUCUCUUAUAC
rnacentral:rRNA from 1 species